GUGUGCCAGAAAAUAUGAAAACUCGACGUUUUUGACGACACUUGCCAAACAAUGACGUCAUUCAAUAAAUUGCGUCACGCUCGAAUGACUGUUCAUUUAAAAUUUAGGACCCAUUUUGAGGAAAAAUAUUUCUUCCAGAAACUUGAAAAGAUAAAACCGGUGUAAAAAUGAAAAAAAAAAUGUAAAAAAUGGGGUGUGAUAAAGGGUAUGAUAAAGUGUGCGAAUCAAAGUUGCGCGAUAUGGAUUAAACAGC
rnacentral:lncRNA from 1 species